AGUGAACGCUGGCGGUAGGCCUAACACAUGCAAGUCGAACGGCAGCACAGUAAGAGCUUGCUCUUACGGGUGGCGAGUGGCGGACGGGUGAGGAAUACAUCGGAAUCUACUUUUUCGUGGGGGAUAACGUAGGGAAGCUUACGCUAAUACCGCAUACGACCUACGGGUGAAAGCAGGGGAUCUUCGGACCUUGCGCGAUUGAAUGAGCCGAUGUCGGAUUAGCUAGUUGGCGGGGUAAAGGCCCACCAAGGCGACGAUCCGUAGCUGGUCUGAGAGGAUGAUCAGCCACACUGGAUCGGAGACACGGUCCAGACUCCUACGGGAGGCAGCAGUGGGGAAUAUUGGACAAUGGGCGCAAGCCUGAUCCAGCCAUACCGCGUGGGUGAAGAAGGCCUUCGGGUUGUAAAGCCCUUUUGUUGGGAAAGAAAAGCAGCAGGUUAAUACCCCGCUGUUCUGACGGUACCCAAAGAAUAAGCACCGGCUAACUUCGUG
rnacentral:rRNA from 1 species